rnacentral:lncRNA from 1 species
CUGAGUGACCGCGUCAAAUGAUCGCCGCGAGCGAUCUGUGUGAAGUAAUAGGUUUGCGGGGCACAAGGAGAGAAAAACUCCAACUCAGGCUUCAGCAGUAGACUGAUAUGACAGGAGACUGUCACACAGCCGAUAGGAGGAUCUGGCAGAAAGUUGCUAGUAAGGAAAGCACUGGAGAAUAAAAAUCAGAAAGUGCAAGUCAUGAAAACUCUUCAGGCCACAACAAUGUAGAAUAAGGUCGGUCCCCUCCCCCACCCCGCCCCGCCCGGCGCAGUGAAAUCCGCUAAGUCGCUUCACACCGUCCGCACAAUGGGACACCAAGAUCUCGCCGCUGCACUCCCCUGUCACUUUUUGUAAGGUUUAGCACCUUGCAUUCUAGAAGAAAAAGCACUUUUUUGUGUGUGGUUUAUGAUAGAAUUUCCUGAGCCUCUGUCCCGGUCUAAAUUAAGUCUUUCGUGUUUACUUGGAUGCCUUCUACUCCUUUAAAUUAUUUAUCACAAGUUGCAUACAUAUUUUCAUUUAUUUGUCUAAUGUCUGACUGCCCAACAGACUAUAAACUCUUGACCGCAAAGACUAUGUCUGUUUUCUUCACUGUGAUUUAUCCUCCACCAUGCACGUUAGUGAGUGAUCAAGAAUGACACCUUCAACAUGAACUCUUCCAUGAACAGUCACGGAAUUGUGACUGUGUCUCUUACUCAAAUUUUAGAAUUUGCUGACAAACUAAUCACUACACCUUUAUAAUGUUCCAAGAACUAUAUUUGAAAUUUCUGUAACUGAUUUCGUCCUUCAAAGUGAACAAGUUCUAGAGUAUUAUAUAAAGUAAGAAUAAGAGAGCUACGGAGUGGUACAUUCCUGUAAUCCCAGCGACUGGGGAGGCUGAGGCAGGAGGAUGGUAAAUUCCUAAGGCCAGGCUGGGCAAUUGAGCCAGGCCCUCGACAAUUUAGUGAGACCCUGUCCCAAAAUAAAAAAUAAAGGACUUGGGUUGGGUUGUAGCUUAGUGGUAGAGUGCAUGCCUCACAUUUGUGAGGCAUUGGGUUCAAUUCUCAGCAACGCAUAUAAAUAAAAUAAAGGUCCUCUGACAACUAAAAAAUUUAAAUUAAAUUAAGGAAUUUGGGUUCGAUCCCCAGUAACUCAAUAAAAAAAGGGGGGGGAAAGCUCAAAAAACAAAGAACUAGGGAUGUAGCCCAGUGGGAAAGUGUCCCUGAGUUCAAUCCCCAGUACCAAAAAGAAAAAAGAAGAAGAGAGUAAAUGAUUGGAAAGAGACUGGAGUCAAAGUAAUUUGGUUUUGCAAUCAUCUCAGAAUUAAAGAGUACAGGUUAUAAAUUAGAAUUGGAUGUGAAUCACUUCUGUGAUGUUAAUCACAACUUGGUUAAAUCAGUUGUAACAGAAAGUAAUAAUGCCUCUACGUAUAGCUGUUGUAAAAUUAGAAAUAAUUUAAAUCAAACAGUAUAGUCAGUACUCAAUAAAUAUUUGCUUAUAUAUGUAAAUAUCUAUAAUUGGAUUACUAUGAAUUAACAUACUCUUUACUCCCCUGGAAUAUGAAUUAUAGACUUUUAUGACACCCAUCUUUUCCCUCCUAGUAUUUAUCAGAGUUUAUUUUGGAUGUGUGUAUUCCUCCCUGACUAGACUAUGAGAUUUGUAAAGGCAAAAACCAUUUCUAUGUAACGGCCUAUCCCUAACAGCUGCCAAUAGUGUCUAAUGUGUAAGACAUUCAAGAAUAUUUUAUUUUGAAUCAAUGAAUAUGUCAGUCUGAUGUAAUCAUUUGAGUAAAUAGUUAAUAGAGGUUCAGAUAGGAAGAAAUUUUACUUAAACAUAUUAAGAGUUAAGCUUGAUGAUUAUGAGUUUGAUUCAAUUUGAUGCUUUUUUUUAAAUUUUCAAGGACAUUAAUAAAGUACAAAGAAUAGCAUAUCUAGUGGCUGGGACUAUGGCUCAGUGGUACAGCGCUUGCCUAGCAUACAUGAGGUACUGGGUUUGAUCCUCACCAUCACAUAAAAAUAAACAAGUAAAAUAAAGGCAUUCUGUCCAUCUACAACUACAAAAAACUUUUUUUUAAAAAAAGAAUAGCAUAUCU